rnacentral:SRP_RNA from 1 species
ACCAGGUGCAGUGGCACAUGCCUGUAGUCCCAGCUACUCGGGAAGCUGAGGCUGGAGGCUCGCUUGAGCCCAAGAGUUCUGGGCUGUAGUGCGCUAUGCUGAUCGGGUGUCCGCACUAAGUUUGGCAUCAGUACAGUGACCUCCUGGGAGCGGGGGACCACCAGGUUGCCUAAGGAGGGGUGAACAGGCCCAGGUUGGAAACGGAGCAGUUCAAACUCCGGUGCUAAUCAGUCAUGGGAUCGCUUCUGUGAAUAGCCACUGCACUCCAGCCUGGGCAACAUAGUGAGAUCCUGUCUCU